AGGCUUCGGCAAUGGGGGAAACCCUGACCGAGCGACGUCGCGUGGGUGAUGAAGAUCUUCGGAUCGUAAAACCCUGUCAGGUGGGAUGAAAUGUCACAUGGUGAAUAACUACGUGGCUUGACAGUACCACCAGAGGAAGCUCCGGCCAACUCCGUGCCAGCAGCCGCGGUAACACGGGGGGAGCGAGCGUUGUUCGGAAUUAUUGGGCGUAAAGAGCUCGUAGGUGGCUCCGUAAGUCGGGGGUGAAAGGCCAUGGCUCAACCAUGGACACGCCUCUGAAACUACGGAACUUGAGGUCGGGAGAGGAAAGUGGAAUUCCUGGAGUAGCGGUGAAAUGCGUAGAUAUCAGGAGGAACACCAGUGGCGAAGGCGGCUUUCUGGCCCGACACUGACGCUGAGGAGCGAAAGCCAGGGGAGCGAACGGGAUUAGA
rnacentral:rRNA from 1 species